rnacentral:tRNA from 3 species
CGUAGCUCAGCUGGUUAGAGCACAUCACUCAUAAUGAUGGGGUCACAGGUUCGAAUCCCG